CAUAUGCUUGUCUCAAAGAUUAAGCCAUGCAUGUCUAAGUUCACACUGUCUCACGGUGAAACCGCGAAUGGCUCAUUAAAUCAGUCGAGGUUCCUUAGAUGACACGAUCCUACUUGGAUAACUGUGGCAAUUCUAGAGCUAAUACAUGCCUAUGAAGCUCCGACCCUCGUGGAAAGAGCGCUUUUAUUAGUUCAAAACCAAUCGCCGGUCGUCUUCGGGCGGCCGGUGUCCCCAUUGGUGACUCUGGAUAACUUUGUGCUGAUCGCAUGGCCUUCGCGCCGGCGACGCAUCUUUCAAAUGUCUGCCCUAUCAAAUGUCGAUGGUACGUGAUAUGCCUACCAUGUUUGUAACGGGUAACGGGGAAUCAGGGUUCGAUUCCGGAGAGGGAGCAUGAGAAACGGCUACCACAUCCAAGGAAGGCAGCAGGCGCGCAACUUACCCACUCCCGGCACGGGGAGGUAGUGACGAAAAAUAACAAUACGGGACUCUCUACGAGGCUCCGUAAUUGGAAUGAGUACACUUUAAACCCUUUAACGAGUAUCUAUUGGAGGGCAAGUCUGGUGCCAGCAGCCGCGGUAAUUCCAGCUCCAAUAGCGUAUAUUAAAGUUGUUGCAGUUAAAAAGCUCGUAGUUGGAUCUCAGGUGCAGGCGGACGGUCCGGCUCGCGCCGGUUCACUGUCCGUAUUUCCUGCCCUACUGGUCUGCCGGCUCUCUCCCGUGGGUGCUCUUCGCUGAGCGUCCCGGGUGGCCGGCGCGUUUACUUUGAAAAAAUUAGAGUGUUCAAAGCAGGCCUCGGCUGCCUGAAUAAUGGUGCAUGGAAUAAUGGAAUAGGACCUCGGUUCUAUUUUGUUGGUUUUCGGAACUGGAGGUAAUGAUUAAAAGGGACAAACGGGGGCAUUCGUAUUGCGGCGUUAGAGGUGAAAUUCUUGGAUCGCCGCAAGACGAGCUACUGCGAAAGCAUUUGUCAAGAAUGUUUUCAUUAAUCAAGAACGAAAG
rnacentral:rRNA from 2 species